GAGAAUGUGGAGUUACAUCUGAAGUGUUGCUCCAUAAUCUAGUACCCACUCCGCAUGCUUCCAACCAUUAUAUUUCUUUAGAGUAUUUCACCAACCAAGUCAAGUGGCCGCUCUAUCUAUUCUUUUACUAUUUACAAAGCCUGUCAUGUUUCUAAAGGUAAAAUUAUGAAGUGAUACAUUAAUGAGCUUAUUUAUAAAUCAUUAUAAUUAAGCCAUAAAAGGCAUACAAUGCUUCCUCUGCACUAAGAUCAAAUUGGCACCCAAACCCAGUUCAAUAUUCUUCAAGAGAGCUAUCUUUUUCCUUGACUGCAUCAGUUUUCUAGCAAAGAAGUUAGGGAAAGUAGCAAUGCAAUAUAGCAAAGCCAAGAAUUUCAAAAUCCAACUCUUGACUUCAAUAUCUCAUUUCAAAAGAUAUAUAAUCAAGUUUCAGUUCCUUUUUUAAUGAAUUAGCUAGAACUUGAAAUUUCUAAUAUAAAUAAAAUUCAAGCUUCAUUAUUUUAUAUAUUAGUAAAAACUUAACUUUCUUGAUCUAUAUAAACUUCAAGCAUGUGUUGAUACUUUCAUUAUAACUACCGGGAUGGUAUAAAUGCAUUUGGCCUGUCGAUUUGCAUGACUCAAAAAAAUACCAUAAAGGCAACAAAAAAUAUCAUAAAAUUAUGAAGUGAUACAUUAAUGAACUUAUUUAUAAAUCAUUAUAAUAAAGCCAUAAAAGGCAUACAAUGCUUCCUCUGCACCA
rnacentral:lncRNA from 1 species